rnacentral:rRNA from 1 species
UACGGAGGGGACUAGCGUUGUUCGGAAUUACUGGGCGUAAAGCGCACGUAAGCGGAUUUGUAAGUCAGGGGUGAAAUCCCGGGGCUCAACCUCGGAACUGCCUUUGAUACUGCAAAUCUCGAGUCCGGAAGAGGUGAGUGGAAUUCCUAAGUGUAGAGGUGAAAUUCGUAGAUAUUAGGAAAGAACACCAGUGGCGAAGGCGGCUCACUGUCCGGUACUGACGCUGAGGUGCGAAAGCGUGGGGAGCAAACAGGG